CAACCCUCGGAGCCCCCUUCGGGGCACCGGUGUUGGGGAUCGACCGCCCCCCCGUGGCGGUCGGCCCUGAAACUCAGUGGCGGUCUCGCCGUAGCCUCCCUUGCGUAGUAGCACACACCUCGCACUGGACGGCCGGCGCGGCCACGCCGUGAAACCCCCCACCUCUGAAAUG
rnacentral:misc_RNA from 1 species